AUGAUUACUUAUCAAUGGAGAGAAUGGCCCAGGUCUUUCAGAAUGAAACUCAUAGACAUCUGGGCCCCUGGGAGUAUUGGCAUAUCAGAUAUUAAGGACACUCCCAUCCUUCUUCCGUCAUCUCUUGUCUGCACCAGCCAUGGAUUUUUGAGAGUAUUACCAGAGCUAGACCUUAGGAUGGAAUCCACUAGUUCCCUGGGUGAGCGGGUACUCCCACCCAAAGCCCGGGCCUCACAGAGUUGUCAGUGUGGAAUGGAACGUACAUCUUCAACCUCUCCCUUGCUGACAGAGUCCCACAGGAUUGCUUUUAUUCAGGCUUUUACAAAAUCAGGGGACAGAGAUGCAGGGGGCUUUUGUGGCGGACUGACAAAAGAGAAAGGCGGCCUAAAAUUCUUCUAGAGAAACAGUUCAGAAUUGCUUCCCAUCUAUGAAAGCUGGAUCUGGAGCCGAAGAAGAAUCUGUCUCAAUCACGGUGAGACUAAAGACAACAGGAAACACUCUGAAACAAAAGCUAGCUUUGCAGAACAAUUUUUGCUCUGAGAACAACUCUAAAAUCCACCUCUAUUUUGAACUCUGAUUUUUGAUUCAACAGUUAAAGAGGGCUCGGAUUUAAAGAGAACUUUCUGUCUUCUGAUUCAGCCUUUCUGGGCUGCCAUAUGUCUUCUGGUCCAAAAAUGUCCGCUGACUCCAGCAAGUGCUUAAAAAAUUCAGCCAGGAAUGUUUUCGUCAUUCUUUCAAAUGUGAAACCCUUUUCCCUGAGCCAGGUAAAGGGGUUCCCAAACAGCUGUCCGCACUGAUGGGGCUUAUCUAGCUUCCUGUCCACCCCCACCCACACACUGCUGACUCUGGGAGGUUAGGUAAUGCCAGUGACUCAGGCAGACAAGAAUGUGAAUUAUGUGAUCUGCAACCCGGAUCUCGCCCAUGUAAGGUUAUUGUUCAACCCACCACAGCAAUCCUGGAAAGGAGACACCAUCUUCCUUCAAAAGGAGGCUUUUGCAACCUUUUUGUGUUUGUGAAAUAACAUUCAUCCAGUUAGCUGAACAGAGGGACAAAGAGAGAGCUUAAACCCAGCCAGCAAACUUGAUUUUGACGCCUGCAACACACACACCAACCCACACUGCAUUCCCACUUGCCACCAGCCUGCACACAUCUCCAUCAGAAUGGUAAAAGACCCAGUAAAGUGGGUCAGGAACCAAUUUAUAUAGGUAUUAAGUGAAGCAAUUGGAAUCCCACUUCCCAUUAAGUGUCUCAGUGGGCUUUUGAACUGAGACCUGUGAUGCAGAAUCCAUCCCAGUUUGGCAAGGGGGGCUGGUUCUUGUCUGCUUCACCUUGAGGGUGAGUGGGUGGGGGCAGAACCAUGCCAGAACCCAGUGGUUCAAGCGGAUGGAAGAGGAGAGGAGCUCCAAGAACAGCUGAGGCAAGAGGCCUAACAUCAAGUUUCUUUCCUUCAGGUCCUGGAGGUGAACACCAGGAAGCUCCACCCUUCUCCACGCGUCCUCCUUGGUCUGUGUCUCCUAGGUUCAUUUUGACAAGAUUUUUCCAGAGCAGAAGAAGAGGGAAAAGAGUCUCCAGUGUGGUGAGCUAGCAAAAUGACAAAGAGCUAGGCUCAGAGAACAGUUUGGCUUGAAAACUUGGCCUGGCUCUGUGAAACCUCAGACACUGUAUCAAGCAUAUUGCCAUUCCAUAUGAAGGACAGCAAAGGAGUGCGUGCUGUGAAGGCAAAAUGACAGGGAGGAUAAAUCUGUGGACUUAUUCCCAUUCCCCGCCCAGAUGCCUAAUCCCUGAAAUGGACUGGAAUGUGUACCAACACAGGACUGAAAUUAACACGUAAAACACAGAGUUUAUCCUGAUUGGAGUCUGUAAAUGCGAGAAGUCGAGUGACAAAAUAUUGCUGGCCUGUCUUCAUAGAGAACCUAACACGAUACAAACUUCAGAAUCCACUGAAAAGUAAUCUUAGUUACCCGCUGAAGUAAAUUUCAGUGAAGUCUGGUAUUUCUUACACAGGGAAAAAUCAAGGCAAGUCAGAAAAGACUUGUUACAGUCCUACCAUAUGCCUAUCUACAGAAAGAAAAAGAUAAAACAAUGAUUAUUAAAUUAUCAAAUUAUUAUUAUAUAAUGAUUAUUAAAUAAUUAUUAAAAUAAUGGUUAUUAAAUUAUUUAAAUUAUUAAAAUAAUGAUUAUUAUCAAAUGAUUAGUAAACUUUUCCAUGCCAAGUACUAUCUAUAAAUGAUCUUUUCUCCUUCCAAUGCUUCAAGUUAGGUGUUGUCUCCAUUAUCAAAUGAAAGAAAUCAAAACAGAGAUUAAGCAACCUGGCCAACAUUG
rnacentral:lncRNA from 1 species